AUCCAACUAACGAGUCCCAAAUAGGAUGAAACGCGCGUCCUGAAU
rfam:Schistosoma mansoni strain Puerto Rico chromosome 4, complete genome